rnacentral:rRNA from 1 species
UAUCCUGUCUGAAUAUGGGGGGACCAUCCUCCAAGGCUAAAUACUCCUGACUGACCGAUAGUGAACCAGUACCGUGAGGGAAAGGCGAAAAGAACCCCGGCGAGGGGAGUGAAAAAGAACCUGAAACCGUGUACGUACAAGCAGUGGGAGCACAGGUUUACCUGUGUGACUGCGUACCUUUUGUAUAAUGGGUCAGCGACUUAUAUUCUGUAGCAAGGUUAACCGAAUAGGGGAGCCGGAGGGAAACCGAGUCUUAAUUGGGCGUUAAGUUGCAGGGUAUAGACCCGAAACCCGGUGAUCUAGCCAUGGGCAGGUUGAAGGUUGGGUAACACUAACUGGAGGACCGAACCGACUAAUGUUGAAAAAUUAGCGGAUGACCUGUGGCUGGGGGUGAAAGGCCAAUCAAACCGGGAGAUAGCUGGUUCUCCCCGAAAGCUAUUUAGGUAGCGCCUCGUGAACUCAUCUCCGGGGGUAGAGCACUGUUUCGGCUAGGGGGCCAUCCCGGCUUACCAACCCGAUGCAAACUGCGAAUACCGGAGAAUGUUAUCACGGGAGACACACGGCGGGUGCUAACGUCCGUCGUGAAGAGGGAAACAACCCAGACCGCCAGCUAAGGUCCCAAAGUCAUGGUUAAGUGGGAAACGAUGUGGGAAGGCCCAGACAGCCAGGAUGUUGGCUUAGAAGCAGCCAUCAUUUAAAGAAAGCGUAAUAGCUCACUGGUCGAGUCGGCCUGCGCGGAAGAUGUAACGGGGCUAAACCAUGCACCGAAGCUGCGGCAGCGACGCUGAUGCGUUGUUGGGUAGGGGAGCGUUCUGUAAGCCUGCGAAGGUGGCCUGUGAGGGUUGCUGGAGGUAUCAGAAGUGCGAAUGCUGACAUAAGUAACGAUAAAGCGGGUGAAAAGCCCGCUCGCCGGAAGACCAAGGGUUCCUGUCCAACGUUAAUCGGGGCAGGGUGAGUCGACCCCUAAGGCGAGGCCGAAAGGCGUAGUCGAUGGGAAACGGGUUAAUAUUCCCGUACUUGGUGUUACUGCGAAGGGGGGACGGAGAAGGCUAUGUUGGCCGGGCGACGGUU